GGAAUUUUGGACAAUGGGCGCAAGCCUGAUCCAGCAAUGCCGCGUGAGUGAAGAAGGCCUUCGGGUUGUAAAGCUCUUUUGUCAGGGAAGAAACGGUGGGAGCUAAUAUCUCCUGCUAAUGACGGUACCUGAAGAAUAAGCACCGGCUAACUACGUGCCAGCAGCCGCGGUAAUACGUAGGGUGCAAGCGUUAAUCGGAAUUACUGGGCGUAAAGCGUGCGCAGGCGGUUUUGUAAGUCUGAUGUGAAAUCCCCGGGCUCAACCUGGGAAUUGCAUUGGAGACUGCAAGGCUAGAAUCUGGCAGAGGGGGGUAGAAUUCCACGUGUAGCAGUGAAAUGCGUAGAUAUGUGGAGGAACACCGAUGGCGAAGGCAGCCCCCUGGGUCAAGAUUGACGCUCAUGCACGAAAGCGUGGGGAGCAAACAGGAUUAGAUACCCGGG
rnacentral:rRNA from 1 species